GAGUUUGAUCAUGGCUCAGAUUGAACGCUGGCGGCAUGCCUAACACAUGCAAGUCGAACGGUAGCAGGCCUUCGGGUGCUGACGAGUGGCGGACGGGUGAGUAAUGCGUAGGAAUCUGUCUUUUAGUGGGGGACAACCCAGGGAAACUUGGGCUAAUACCGCAUGAGCCCUGAGGGGGAAAGCGGGGGAUCUUCGGACCUCGCGCUAAGGGAAGAGCCUACGUCUGAUUAGCUAGUUGGUAGGGUAAAGGCCUACCAAGGCGACGAUCAGUAGCUGGUCUGAGAGGACGACCAGCCACACUGGGACUGAGACACGGCCCAGACUCCUACGGGAGGCAGCAGUGGGGAAUUUUUCGCAAUGGGGGCAACCCUGACGAAGCAAUGCCGCGUGGAUGAAGAAGGCCUUCGGGUUGUAAAGUCCUUUCGUGGGGGACGAAAAGGUGGUUCCUAAUACGAGCUGCUGUUGACGUGAACCCAAGAAGAAGCACCGGCUAACUCCGUGCCAGCAGCCGCGGUAAUACGGGGGGUGCAAGCGUUAAUCGGAAUCACUGGGCGUAAAGGGUGCGUAGCGGUACGUUAGGUCUGUCGUGAAAUCCCCGG
rnacentral:rRNA from 1 species